rnacentral:tRNA from 1 species
UGGCUCAAUGGUAGAGCGUUCGACUCAAACACCAAAGGUCGUGGGUUUGAAUCCCAG